UACGGAGGGUGCAAGCGUUGUCCGGAUUUAUUGGGUUUAAAGGGUGCGUAGGCGGCCUUGUAAGUCAGUGGUGAAAUACUCCAGCUUAACUGGAGGGGUGCCAAUGAUACUGCAGGGCUUGAGUACAGAUGAGGUAGGCGGAAUUGACGGUGUAGCGGUGAAAUGCAUAGAUAUCGUCAAGAACACCGAGUAGCGAAGGCAGCUUACUGGGCUGUAACUGACGGCUGAGGCACGAAAGUGUGGGGAUCAAACAGG
rnacentral:rRNA from 1 species